rnacentral:rRNA from 1 species
CAAAACAACAGUCUCAGUUCAGAUUGUAGGCUGAAACUCGCCUAUAUGAAGUCGGAAUUGCUAGUAAUCGCGGAUCAGCAUGCCGCGGUGAAUACGUUCCCGGGCCUUGUACACACCGCCCGUCACACCAUGAGAGUCGAUAACACCCGAAGCCUGUAGUCUAACAGCAAUGAGGACGCAGUCGAAGGUGGGAUUGAUAAUUAGGGUGAAGUCGUAACAAGGUAGC